AAUGAACGUUGGCGGCGUGGAUUAGGCAUGCAAGUCGCACGGGCCGCAAGGCCAGUGGCGCAAGGGUGAGUAAGGCGACGGUAACCAACCCCAUGAUUGGGUAUAGCCGCGGGAAACUGCGGGUAAUCCCCAGCGACGUCCUCCGGGGGCCUCUCGGGAGGACCAAAGCUCCGGCGUCGUGGGACGGGCCGUCGUGGUAUUAGGUAGUUGGCGGGGUAACGGCCCACCAAGCCUGCGAUGCCUACCGGGCGUGCGAGCGUGGCCCGGCACACUGGGACUGAGACACUGCCCAGACUCCUACGGGAGGCUGCAGUCGAGAAUCUUCGGCAAUGGGCGCAAGCCUGACCGAGCGACGCCGCGUGGAGGACGAAGGCCUUCGGGUUGUAAACUCCUGUCGAGGGGGAAGAAGGCCCCGCAAGGGGCUUGACUGAUCCCUGGAGGAAGCACGGGCUAAGUUCGUGCCAGCCGCCGCAGUAACAC
rnacentral:rRNA from 1 species